rnacentral:rRNA from 1 species
CCUACGGGAGGCAGCAGUAGGGAAUCUUCGGCAAUGGGGGCAACCCUGACCGAGCAACGCCGCGUGAGUGAAGAAGGUUUUCGGAUCGUAAAGCUCUGUUGUAAGAGAAGAACGAGUGUGAGAGUGGAAAGUUCACACUGUGACGGUAACUUACCAGAAAGGGACGGCUAACUACGUGCCAGCAGCCGCGGUAA